UUCAAAUCCCAUGAAUGUCAUUUUGCACCGAAGGUUUGUAACCAUUGGGGAAUGUUUUCUUGCUCUGAUGUAUCAAGUUGCCAUGGGGGUGAUCUAGAGGUCUCUUCCUUGUCCAAAGUAUGUCGUACCUAAUCAAGACAUGUUCAUUUAAUUUACCCGUCAUGUAAAUGACACAACAUGAUUCACUUGUGUAUAGUGUAAACAUAUAUUUAUUUAUGGCAAGCAGGUGUUCAAAUUAUAGUUGUGAAACGUGUAUAGUGUAAGGAUAUAAUUAUUAAGGGAAGUGACGUCACAGUGGUC